rnacentral:sRNA from 12 species
GAUGCGUGUCCUUAAUAGAAACAGGUUCGGGGUGGAAUCUGGAGGUUGAAAAGCGGAUGCAAUUUCCGACACGUAUC